AGCAGCCGCGGUAAUUCCAGCUCCAAUAGCGUAUAUUAAAGUUGUUGCAGUUAAAAAGCUCGUAGUUGAAUUUCAGGCCUGGCUGGACGGUCCGCCCUUCGGGUGAGUACUGUCUGUGGUCGGGUCCUACCUUCUGGCGAAGCGUCAUGGCCUUAACCGGCCGUGGCGGGGAACCAGGACUUUUACUGUGAAAAAUUAGAGUGUUCAAAGCAGGCAAUCGCUUGGAUACAUUAGCAUGGAAUAAUGGAAUAGGACAAUGGUUCUAUUUGUUGGUUUCUAGGACCGUUGUAAUGAUUAAUAGGGAUAGUUGGGGGCAUUAGUAUUCAAUUGUCAGAGGUGAAAUUCUUGGAUUUAUUGAAGACUAACUACUGCGAAAGCAUUUUGCCAAGGAUGUUUUCAUUAAUCAAGAACGAAAGUUAGGGGAUCGAAGACGAUCAGAUACCGUCGUAGUCUUAACCAUAAACUAAUGCCGACUAGGAAUCGGGCGACGUUGAAAAAAUGACGCGCUCGGCACCUCAUG
rnacentral:rRNA from 1 species